GGAUUGCCCCAGUAACGGCGAGUGAAGCGGCAACAGCUCAAAUUUGAAAUCUGGCCCCCCCGGGGCCCGAGUUGUAAUUUGUAGAGGAUGCUUUCGGGUUGCCACCGGUCUAAGUUCCUUGGAACAGGACGUCGCAGAGGGUGAGAAUCCCGUAUGUGACCGGCCAGGCGCCCUCCGCAAAGCUCCUUCGACGAGUCGGGUUGUUUGGGAAUGCAGCCCUAAUCGGGAGGUAAAUUUCUUCUAAAGCUAAAUACCGGCCAGAGACCGAUAGCGCACAAGUAGAGUGAUCGAAAGAUGAAAAGCACUUUGGAAAGAGAGUUAAAAAGCACGUGAAAUUGUUGAAAGGGAAGCGCUUGCGAUCAGUCUCGACGGCGGCCGUUCGGCCUCUCUUCUGAGUGGCUCACUCGGCCGCCGCCGGGCCAGCGUCAGUUCCGGCGGUCGGACAAAGGCGGGCGGAACGUAGCUCCCCCGGGAGUGUUAUAGCCGCCCGCGCAAUGCGGCCAGCCGGGACUGAGGUCCGCGCUCCGGUUAGGACGCUGGCGAAAUGGUCGUAAGCGGCCCGUCUUGAAACACGGACCAAGGAGUCUAACAUUUAUGCGAGUGUUCGGGUGUCAAACCCGUGCGCGCAAUGAAAGUGAACGGAGGUGGGAACCCGCGAGGGCGCACCAUCGACCGAUCCUGAUGUCUUCGGAUGGAUUUGAGUAAGAGCAUGAAUGCUGGGACCCGAAAGGUACGUAGGUUGUAUUGAACUUGGAUAGAAUUUUAAAGCUAAUUUAUAUUCCAGAUGGUGAACUAUGCCUGAAUAGGGUGAAGCCAGAGGAAACUCUGGUGGAGGCUCGCAGCGGUUCUGACGUGCAAAUCGAUCGUCAAAUUUGGGUAUAGGGGCGAAAGACUAAUCGA
rnacentral:rRNA from 1 species